AUGGCCUGGACUCCUCUCCUCUUCCUGUUCCUCUCUCUCUGCUCAGGUUCCCUGUCCCAGCCUGUGCUGACCCAGCCGCCCUCCCUCUCUGCAUCUCCAGGAACGACGGCCAGACUCACCUGCACCUGAGCAGGGACAUCAGUGUUGGCGGCUCCAACAUCUACUGGAUCCAGCAGCAGCCAGGGAGCCCUCCCCGGGGUCUGCUGUACUACUCCUCAGACUCCAGUAAGCACCAGGGCCCCGGGGUCCCCGGCCGCUUCUUAGGCUCCAAAGAUGCCUUGGCCAAUGCAGGGCUUCUGCGCAUCUUGGGGCUGCAGGCUGAGGGCGAGGCGGACUAUCACUGUCUUGUUGGAGACUGUGGUGCUUCUCACAGUGACACAGGCCGAAGGGGAAGUAGACAAAAUCCCUGA